rnacentral:rRNA from 1 species
CCUACGGGAGGCUGCAGUGAGGAAUAUUGGUCAAUGGACGAGAGUCUGAACCAGCCAAGUAGCGUGAAGGAUGACUGCCCUAUGGGUUGUAAACUUCUUUUAUAUGGGAAUAAAAUGUUCCACGUGUGGGAUUUUGUAUGUACCAUAUGAAUAAGGAUCGGCUAACUCCGUGCCAGCAGCCGCGGUAAUACGGAGGAUCCGAGCGUUAUUCGGAUUUAGUGGGUUUAAAGGGAGCGUAGGUGGAUUGUUAAGUCAGUUGUGAAAGUUUGCGGCUAAACCGUAAAAUUGCAGUUGAAACUGGCAGUCUUGAGUACAGUAGAGGUAGGCGGAAUUCGUGGUGUAGCGGUGAAAUGCGUAGAGAUCACGAAGAACUCCGAUUGCGAAGGCAGUUCACUGGACUGCAACUGACACUGAGGCUCGAAAGUGUGGGUAUCAAACAGGAUUAGAUACCCCUGUAGUC